AGCUACUUAUUUCAAGUCUUUUUUAGGAUUAGAAGAUAUUCAGGGAAGUAAUAUUUUCAUAUUACUCCUUGAAAAUAUUUUUCACAGUAUUAUUUUAUAUUUUAAAAUGUAAUACAAUUAUAUAAAUCAUUCUAAAAUUGGACUCAUUCUUGUGAUAAAACAGAUUACUUGUAGAAAAACUG
rnacentral:misc_RNA from 1 species